UAUAAUUUGUUUUAUUUCAUCUGAUUUCAAUUUGUCAAGAAUGACAUAGUACACAUUUUAUGACUAAGUGAUAUAUACAAUGAUUUAUUUACGACGAUCACCAGUGAAAAAAAGAGAAGAUACAUAAUAUACAUCAUAGACCAGAUAAAAUUACCCAUCCUCUCUCUCACAAAAAAUAAUAGCAUUUUCUACUAUCUAUGGCUUUUCAUAGUUAAAUGAUUAUGGUAUGCCUGUAGUGCACUUUCUUGGUUCGAAUUUAGAAUAUUUUAUAAAUAAAAUUCUGCGAGACCGGAAAAUCGCUAAUGUGAUAUAUUCAACUUCUAAAAUAUCAAGGAAAGUUGAAUCCUGAUUGUAUUUUAAGAUCUUCUACAUCAUGCCUCCACCUGGAAGAAUCAACAGACCACUAACGGUAGGCUUUAUCUUUAUUUUCCUAAUGUAUACCUGUAUAGUUAUUGCUGUAAAGCCAGUUCAGAGUUUCAUUCUAUUCAUGUGCAUACAUGUAGGUCAUUCAGAUUAAACAGGUGUAACAAGAAUGGUUUUCAAAUCCAAUGACAGCUACUGUGAUUUAUUUAUUAUUCAUUCAUUUAUUCCUUUUAAAUAAGUUUUCGAUCAACAGUGUUUACUGGGCUCAUACUUGACAGUUAAGGCCAUGUGACAGCUUAUAUGGUAGUAUAUUAAUUAAGACAAAAAUAAGAUGCUUUCCUUGUCAGUGAUGCCAAAUGUUCUACUAGUAUUUAGACAAAAGAUUGGAGGUGUGAACCAUCAUGUGAUAACAAUGGAAGAACAGAGAGAGAGAGAGAAGGGGGGGGGGGAUGGAGAAAAUAGAGGGAUUGAUAUGUAGGGCCUAACAACUUGUAGCAUAUUUUACGAGUCAUGUCCUGUUGAGUGAAACUUAUCUGAACAAUAUCAUUGUGUGCUUGACAUGCAGUCAACAUGGUAUUGGGAUAUUAUGGUACUGAAAGAAAUCCUGGCAACAUUUAUGACUGCUUAACCCUGUCAUAAAUUUUAUCAUAUACAUGUAUAUUGCUUGUAAUGGAAUUAUAUGCAUGAAUGAAUUUGCUAAUUUUGGGGGCACUCUGCAGAGAAGAGACGAAUUGAUGACAUUUUUUUAUGACCACAGUUAUGACAUCCACCGGAAUACCAAUUUUUUCAUAUCUCUGAUCAUUAAAAGUCGAUGUUCAGAACACUGCCACUGGAUACUAAAGGCUCAUGCAUAUUUCUAAAAGGAGACGGGGUGUAUCCAUAGGGUCAAAAUAUGUUGAGUACAUACAUAAUUAUGUAAACAGAUGCAAGUAGAAAAACUCAGAAGUGGUUCAAAUUAUUUGUAGCUCAUAUUUAUUGGAGGAUUUCCUCACGAAUAAUGUAUCGGCAGGUACAUUUGCGGGUGACUCCGACUUAUGGUUAAGAUCACAAAAUGCAUUAAAAGUGAUUGUAGUAAAUAGACCAACCAGGUAUUUUUCAUGUAUACUAAACAGGUCCAGUGAUUCUGGUUGAAAAUCAAUAACUGCUCUGAAGUAAGCAAAUAAUCCUGGCAUUCCGUCAAGUCUGCGCUGAGAUCAAAUAAAUACAUCUCAUGUACCUAUGUUUACUUAUCUGAGUUUUCGAUUUUCAGUGUAAUUGAUUUAUUUCCUGCCAUGUUUGCUGAACCUUGCCCUUGCACGAUUCAAACACUCACUUGGUCUAGGUCUACAUGAUGAUCAGUUCACCUAGCCUGGCUUUAUUCUGUGAUCAGAAUUCCAUUGUACUUUUGAAGAUCUGACAAAUGAACAACCUUUCUUGAAUGCUAGUAGAGGGUCAAUGCUCGGAGAUGGUAAAUUUAACAUACAUGUAUAUUUGAAAUGAGAAUUGAACUGGUCAUCAAACAUCAAAGUCAUGGAUAGAGAAUAAAUGACAAAAGUGGAACAUAUAUUUUCAACGUUUCUUUAAGUGAUAGUGAUGUUAGUUCGUAUUUAAUUCAAUAAAAAUCAACUUAAAAUUGUUAAUUCUGCAUUGGGAAUAUGAUGAAAUUUCAAUCACAACUUAAUAAAGCAGUUUCACAUACCGGUAAGUAAUUAAUUCAUUUCA